CCCAGGACCAUGACACAAGAGGCCCUGACUGUCUCCCAUCACCACUCUCAGUAUCUCAAAAGGGCAGGCGUCUGAAGCAAGGCCUUUGAUGACAACUCAAGUGUCAUCAACCUAAGUUCAUACAGGGGUUGAAAGGAACUCUGGCUGGGAGAGAUUGAUUUAUGUCAGCACAGCAGAGUAUUGUACACUGAAUACUCCAGGUUGGGGUGAGAUACAACAACCCUGCAGUGGUUCAUUGUUAUAACAAGGAAAGGAUAACAAGUUACAAGGAAGAGAUGGGCUCCUGGAACUUCGACUGCCAUACAGAGAGGAAAUUUAAGAAGGGAAAUCAUGCAGGCUGAGAAAGAGAUGUCUGCUGA